UACGUAGGGUGCAAGCGUUGUCCGGAAUUAUUGGGCGUAAAGAGCUCGUAGGCGGCUUGUCACGUCGGAUGUGAAAAAUCCAGGGCUCAACCCUGGACCUGCAUUCGAUACGGGCAGGCUAGAAUUCGGUAGGGGAGUCUGGAAUUCCUGGUGUAGCGGUGAAAUGCGCAGAUAUCAGGAGGAACACCGGUGGCGAAGGCGGGACUCUGGGCCGAUAUUGACGCUGAGGAGCGAAAGCGUGGGGAGCGAACAGG
rnacentral:rRNA from 1 species